GGUGAGUUCAGGUACAGUUAGAGCCCGGUACUGCUGUGAACCACGGGAAGUAAGAGGGGCAAAACCCACCAUGAAGAAGUGAAGACGAGGGAAUGGAAUGAGGUUCACUGCAAGCUUUCUGAGAUCUGAGUUCAACUGGCCAGGGAACCUCAAGCAGCAUGUAACUCCAGACAUGGUUGCAGAUAUCAAGUGAUUCAAGUCACCAAAACUGGGAGUGGUGAGCUUCAGUGUCCGGAAGCAAAUGUCAUACAAGGCCUCAUUGUCAAGAACCAUGCACUCAUCAGCAUUUUCCACCAGCUGAUGGACAGACAGAGUGGCAUUGUAAGGUUCCACAACUGUAUCAGAGACCUUGGGAGAGGGGAACACCGAAAAAGUCAACAUCAUCCUAUCUGGGUACUCUUCCCUAAUUUUGGAAAUCAAGAGCGUCCCCAUUCCAGAUCCAGUACCACCUCCAAGAGAAUGGCACACCUGGAACCCUUGUAAGCAAUCACAAUUCUCAGCCUCCUUUCGAACGACAUCAAGAACAGAAUCAAUAAGCUCUGCACCUUCAGUGUAGUGUCCUUUGGCCCAGUUAUUACCAGCACCAGACUGGCCGAAGACGAAGUUAUCAGGCCUAAAAAUCUGACCAUAAGUUCCAGAUCUGAUGCUGUCCAUGGUACCGGGUUCCAAAUCCAUGAGUACCGCACGAGGGACAAAGCGGCCGCAACUGGCCUCAUUGUAGUAGACAUUGAUUCUUUCAAGCUGAAGAUCUGAAUCCCCUUGGUAGCGACCAGUAGAAUCUAUGCCGUGCUCGGUGCAUACAACUUCCCAGAACUUGGCUCCGAUUUGGUUGCCGCAUUGCCCCCCUUGAACGUGAAGGAUCUCACGCAUUAUUGCUCGGUAUCGUUAAAAAAAGCGAGAGCUUUGAAUUUCAGUCAGAGAUGCAGAGAGAGGACGAAGAGAUACAAAGAGCG
rnacentral:misc_RNA from 1 species